UAUCUCUGUAGAGUCUGCAUAUCAAUAAGCGGAGGAAAAGAAACUAACAAGGAUUCCCUUAGUAACGGCGAGUGAAGCGGGAAGAGCUCAAAUUUGAAAUCUUCAAGGUUCUACCUUGACGAAUUGUAGUUUAAAGAAGUGUUUUCUGUUAGAUGAGUAGCAAAAGUUCCUUGGAAUGGGACAUCAUAGAGGGUGAGAAUCCCGUAUUUGGUUAUUCAUUCUAGCUUCGUGAUACACUUUCAAAGAGUCGGAUUGUUUGGGAAUGCAGUCCAAAAUGGGUGGUAAAUUUCAUCUAAAGCUAAAUAUUGGCGAGAGACCGAUAGCGAACAAGUACCGUGAGGGAAAGAUGAAAAGAACUUUGAAAAGAGAGUUAAACAGUACGUGAAAUUGUCAAAAGGGAAGCGUUUGACACCAGUGUUGUUUUUCCGAAAAUCAAUUACGAAUGGCUUGAUUUUGUGUUGUAUUGACCUUAUCAGCUUUCUUCACUUUUUUCGAGUCUUUCUUAAUGCACUUUUCGGUUAACAAGUCAACAUCAAUUUCUUUUGUUGUAAAAGAGUAUUCGGAAGGUGGCUUUCUUUUCGGAGAAAGUGUUUAUAGCCCUAUACUUCUACAAUCGGAGAGAUUGAGGUCUGCAGCGUAGAUCCUUCGGGGUUAGAUACACUUGUGCUAAGUUGUAGCCUUUCAUAGACAACUUGUUGACUAUGUUUAGUCAUGCGGCUUACUCGCUUGUGCUAUUUUACCUACGCUUAGGAUGUUGACUGAUAUGUAGUCGUA
rnacentral:rRNA from 1 species